rnacentral:rRNA from 1 species
CCUACGGGAGGCAGCAGUGAGGAAUAUUGGUCAAUGGCCGAGAGGCUGAACCAGCCAAGUCGCGUGAGGGAAGACGGCCCUACGGGUUUUAAACCUCUUUUGUCGGGGAGCAAAGAGAGUGACGUGUGACUCAUUGAGAGUACCCGACGAAAAAGCAUCGGCCCACUCAGUGCCAGCCGCCGCCGUACUACGGAGGAUACGAGCGUGAUACGGAUUUAUUGGGGUUAAAGGGUGCGCAGGCGGAGGUGCAAGUCAGCGGUCAAGUUGCGGGGCUCAACACCGUACUGCCGUUGAAACUGCAUGCCUUGAGUGCGCGAGAGGUAUGUGGAAUGCGUGGUGUAGCGGUGAAAUGCAUAGAUAUCACGCAGAAUUCCGAUUGCGAAGGCAGCAUACCGGAGCGCAACUGACGCUCAUGCACGAAAGCGUGGGUAUCGAACAGGAUUAGAUACCCCAGUAGUC